rnacentral:tRNA from 1 species
UGGGCUUUAGUUUAUUAGAAUUUUUAACUGUUAAUUAAAGGGAACGCUUAGUAGGCUCAA